UACGUAGGGUGCGAGCGUUGUCCGGAAUUAUUGGGCGUAAAGGGCUCGUAGGCGGUCUGUCGCGUCGGGAGUGAAAACUCAGGGCUUAACCCUGAGCCUGCUUCCGAUACGGGCAGACUAAAGGUAUGCAGGGGAGAACGGAAUUCCUGGUGUAGCGGUGAAAUGCGCAGAUAUCAGGAGGAACACCGGUGGCGAAGGCGGUUCUCUGGGCAUUACCUGACGCUGAGGAGCGAAAGUGUGGGGAGCGAACAGG
rnacentral:rRNA from 1 species